ACUAGAGCUCCUUUAAAGAGAUAGUGCACCAUUCGCCGGCCAGGGUGCUGAAUGAGGGGCCUAUGGGGCCCACUUGGCAGGCCAAGGAGGGUGGAGCCUCCUUCCUUCUCAGCUUCUUUUGGAACAUGUGCAUCCUUGACACAUCUGCAAUGUUCUAAUGGGAAAGACAUGGGGCCAGCGUGGAGGACUUUUCAUAACACAGCUACGCAGAGGAGGAUCGGAAAAAAAAAGGGAACACAAUUAAUAGCAUCUGUAGACAGAAAAGUGUGUGAGUCGAGCAAACGGAACGGCAGCAUCCCGCGCUCUCCAGCCCGUCCCUGCAGGUCUGCACUGCCAGCGGCGUUAACCGUAAGGGAAGGAAGCGGGUCGGCUGCAGCUUUAUGAAAAGCUGCAUCGGGCAAGGCAGUCUGCAGUCCAGUCCUCCGCACUGAAAGCCUCCACGAUGACAACUGGGCUCCAACCACGUACACUCAGUCUCUUGAGAAUCCCUUUAUUCUCAGAUUAAAAUCCCCUUUUCUCCCCCCAAAGCUAUGCCUUAUUGGGUAAGCGUGCUGGGAAAGAAGGCUCGGGGUUCCAUAGCAGGGAAGGAAAGAAGGGAAGGAGGACAAAUCUCAAAGAAGCUGAACAGAAAAGAGGAAAGCAUCCUAGCCGGGAGCAGUCAAAAAAGCUUUUCCUUGCAGGGACAGAAAGCACAUUUUCCCUUUCACGUUAAACACAUCCAACGAACUUACCGGCUUCGGCAUUUAGCAGGCCUAAGGGGCAAUUUCGAGCACGUCUGGUCCCCCCGCCCCCUCCCCACGUUGAGCGCGUCUUCACUCCUGUUCCGUCAACUCUGUGAUCUCAAAGUGAGGAUCAGGCACUCCUCAAACAUGUUCCUUUGGAGUUACAUGAUCAGACAGGCUCCACCAGCACGGCUUAGCAUCCGAAGGAGGAAAAAGUGAAGACACUGGGUUCAAUUAGCUGCUUUCUGCCUGCUGACUGAUUCCCCAGUUACUUGCUAACUGCAUAACUUGUAAGAAAGGCAUAAGUCAUCAGCUCUAAGCAAAUCUCCUAUUCACCACAAGGAAAAAAGGGAGUGUUGUACGUGGCAAACAAUCCCUGUUUUCACUGACGAAGGCUCCCUGACCUCCCGCUGGCCUCCAGUUCCUUAAUUACUGUCUAUGGAAUUCCAGAGAAAGAAAAAAAAGGACGCGGGAAUCUGAGCAAAUCCGGGACAAGGACUAACCCUUACAAGUGACUGAACUUAAAAAAGAUCUCUUUCGCAGAUACUCCUCCAAACAUCCCCUGAAGGGAGUAGUCUCGAUUGAAAAUAGACACCUUCCAAUGGCUAUUUUUGAAAUUACUGAAUUAAAACUUGUGAUUUUGGUUUU